rnacentral:rRNA from 1 species
AGCGAACGCUGGCGGCAGGCCUAACACAUGCAAGUCGAACGAACCUUUCGGGGUUAGUGGCGGACGGGUGAGUAACACGUGGGAACGUGCCUUUAGGUUCGGAAUAACUCAGGGAAACUUGUGCUAAUACCGAAUGUGCCCUUCGGGGGAAAGAUUAAUCGCCUUUAGAGCGGCCCGCGUCUGAUUAGCUAGUUGGUUGAGGUAAUGGCUCACCAAGGCGACGAUCAGUAGCUGGUCUGAGAGGAUUAUCAGCCACAUUGGGACUGAGACACGGCCCAAACUCCUACGGGAGGCAGCAGUGGGGAAUCUUGCGCAAUGGGCGAAAGCCUGACGCAGCCAUGCCGCGUGAAUGAUGAAGGUCUUAGGAUUGUAAAAUUCUUUCACCGGGGACGAUAAUGACGGUACCCGGAGAAGAAGCCCCGGCUAACUUCGUG